CCAGACCGGACGGCCUUGCCUGUGAUUAAGGGCAGCAUGAUGGUGCUGAACCAGCUGAGCAACCUGGAGACCACUGUUGGCAGGUUCUAUACCAACCUUCCCAACCGGAUGAUUGACGAGGCCGUCUUCAGCCUCCCCUUCUCUGAUGAGAUGGGAGAUGGUCUGAUCAUGACUGUGAGUAAACCCUGUUACUUUGGAAACCUUCUCCUGGGGAUCGUAGGUGUGGAUGUGAAUCUGGCUUACAUUCUCGAAGAUGUGACAUAUUACCAAGACUCUUUAGCUUCCUAUACUUUUCUCAUAGAUGACAAAGGGUACACACUUAUGCACCCGUCUCUCACCAGGCCAUACU
rnacentral:lncRNA from 1 species